rnacentral:lncRNA from 1 species
GCCCUUCCUUUCCUGACGUCUUCUGAAGAAAGUGCUUGCUGCCCCUUCACCUGCCACCAUGAUGGAGCUGAGAUCUGCCGCUGCUGAGGACUGGGCACUGAAGUUCAGCCACAGUCCAACACGUGAGGUGACUCCUAGGUCAGAAGGAAGCAGAAGGGAUGAGGCUGCAGGUCCCAAGGAUCUCCCCGUGAGCCUUUGAAGUAUUGGAUGAAGUUACUGGGAAACGGAGAGAAGCGGUAACUUGCCCAGUGCCAAGCAGCUACAAGUUCUGGGACAGAGCUUCAAAUACAAGAGAAUUUUCUGUCUUGGUCACUAUUCUUUCCACAUUGCCUCUUAAACAGCCUGCAUAAACACUUCUUUAAACAAUUUUAGUGUGACACAGAUGCUUACAGUGCAAAAUUAAAAUAAACUUAACAGAUAAAUUAGAAUUGGACAUUUGUCUGAUAGCAACAUGAUAGCUAUAAGAUCAAUAACUUUCCGUCACAGAAAUAAUAUAGAAUUUAAACUUUACUUGCAUAUAAUCUAGAUAGAAAAAUUUGCAUAUAAGAAAAAGAGUGUGAGACACAUCAGGAAAUGUAUCAAGAUACUGUUGAACUGGCUCAUUUAAAACCUGAAUACCCAGGGGACAUCACCAAUAUUGUCCUCAGAUAAUGAUGUAGAAAUGCAUUUCCUUGAAUAUAUGCUUAUCUUUAUUUUCAUCAGUAGGAUCCAUGAGAAAUAAUGAAAAGGAAUCUUUUGUUAAAAGAUAAGUACAGGUGUCUUCGAAGUAGUUCAACAUGCCAUGGGCAAACCUUUACUGAGUACUUAAAUAAAGCAGAGAUUAUGCCAUGGAAAGCAUGAGAACUGAAAAGAAUAUGGCUGUCUUAGUUUUCUACUGCUGCGUAACAUAUUACCAUAUUUAGCAGCUUAGAACUGCACCCAUUUAUUAGCUCACAAUUCUACAGAUGAGAAGUCCAGAAGUCCUGGACCCUCUGCUUUAGGGUCUCACAUAGCCACACUCAGGGGUUGGGCUAGCCUGAGUUCUUACCUGGGAAUCUGGAGAAGAGUCAGUCAAUUCAGUUGCCGGCAGAAUUCAGUCAUGUGCAGCUGUAGGAUUGAGGUCCCUGUUUCUUUGCUGGCUAUUGACCAGGAGCUGUUGUCAGCUUCUGGAGGCCACCUAUAUUCCCAGGCUUGUGGGCCUUCCAUUUUCAAAGCCAGCAAUGCCACGUCAAAUCCUUCCUAUGCUUUGAAUCUUCCUGACUUCCCAUCAUGCCGCUGUCAUCACCUUUUAAAGGAUGUGUGUGCUUAAGUGAGGCACAUGCCAGUUAAUCAUGGUAUUUUAAGGCAACCUGAUUUGGGACUUUAAUUACAACAACAGAACCUCUGCAGUGCGUAGAUGACUGUUUGAGUUACCAGAAGAUAGGAAUAUUAGGGAGUCAUCUUUGGAAUUCUGACCCACAUCAUCAAUGGCUACACCAUCAAGAGGCACAUUUUGUUCAUCUUAUGAUUCCUUGUCAGUGGACACACUUUUCCUAAUGUCAAGGUGACUAUUGACGUGGAUAAUGAACUUGGAGAUUAAGCCAGAAUAUAGUAAUAACCACCAUGAAUUAAGUACAUGGAAUAUGCUUGGUGUCUCAAACACACUUUCUCCUUUGAUCCUCACACAACACUUCAAGUAUAAAGCUGAGCUUCAUAGACUUUCUGCAACUUGCUAACAUCAGACAGCCAGUAAAUGAGGGAGCCAAACUUCAAGAAAAGAACUGUAUGAACACAGUGUCUGUGCUUUUUGCAGCACAGCAUGAAGGAAAAAGGAUCUGAGAGUCUUGUCCUUGAGAAGAAAGUUACACUUCAAGCAGAAAGAUUAAAUAAAAUUUGUUAUGCAACAUCAAUAUGAUUAAUG